rnacentral:rRNA from 1 species
CCUACGGGUGGCUGCAGUGGGGAAUAUUGCACAAUGGGGGAAACCCUGAUGCAGCGACGCCGCGUGAGUGAAGAAGUAAUUCGUUAUUUAAAGCUCUAUCAGCAGUGAAGAAAAUGACGGUACCUGAGUACGAAGCCCCGGCUACCUACGUGCCAGCAGCCGCGGUAAUACGUAGGGGGCAAGCGUUAUCCGGAUUUACUGGGUGUAAAGGGAGCGUAGACGGCAGUGCAAGUCUGGAGUGAAAGGCGGGGGCUCAACCCCCGGACUGCUCUUGAAACUGUACGGCUGGAGUGCAGGAGAGGUAAGUGGAAUUCCUGGUGUAGCGGUGAAAUGCGUAGAUAUUAGGAGGAACACCAGUGGCGAAGGCGGCCGCCUGGCCUGUUGCUGACGCUGAGGCACGAAAGCGUGGGGAGCAAAUAGGAUUAGAUACCCGAGUAGUC